AUGGGAGCUUCUGUAGUAGUUGUUGUUGCUCCCUCCCUGCACUGCCUCUUCCCUGGCUCCCCUCCGAUCUCUAUCUCCCUCUCCCUCUCCUUCUCUUGCAGUCUUGCUAUUUUCUGUCCCUGUUAUCGGUGGCUCCCAUUCUUCUGCUUAUUCUUCAGUUUUGCAGGCUCCUUUGUUUGUUCCUGCUCAACUUCUCUUUUACCUGCUCUGACGACGCCAUUGCACUUGCAUUGCUUCCAUUCCACAAGUCGCCGAAAGCUGGUAACUACCUUUACCAAUUUUCUUCCCUGUUUUCUUGUUUCUCAUCCAUCAUUGUUCAUAAUCUUACACGCUUAUUACUCUAGUUUCGUUCAGAUAAAUGCUUCGAACAUGUUCAUUGCUCAGAUACAGGGAGGAGGCCGGCAAGCUAAGCUGCUAAGGGGAGUACAAUCUUUCUCGUUGCGCUUCCACUCCAGCGUCCUCUUCCUCCAACAAGCUCGUUGA
rnacentral:rRNA from 1 species